UACGUAGGGUGCGAGCGUUAAUCGGAAUUACUGGGCGUAAAGUGUGAGCAGGCGGCCGCGCAAGGCGAGUGUGAAAGCCCCGGGCUUAACUUGGGAAUUGCGCUCGAAACUACGUGGCUGGAGUGUGGCAGAGGAAGGUGGAAUUCCACGUGUAGCGGUGAAAUGCGUAGAGAUGUGGAGGAACACCAAUGGCGAAGGCAGCCUUCUGGGCCAACACUGACGCUCAUGCACGAAAGCGUGGGGAGCAAACAGG
rnacentral:rRNA from 1 species